UUACCUUUCCACUGGUAUAAGACAUACUUCCAAGGUUGGAGCCUUAUGACGGGCAUAGUGGAAGGAACAUGGACUUUCAAAAUUCAAAACAAAACCCUCACGGCCACCAGAUGUUGACCUGAUUCUUCUAUCCCUCAUUUACUCUGUAAAAUGCUGUGUAUUGAGAGUUGGGUACAAGUUAAUCCAUGGGAAGCCACUGAAGAGCCUGUUGGGGAAGAUACCAAAGAAGACAUUUAAUCCCAGUGUGAGUUUCACCCACACAUAGCAUGAAGAGCAAUGAAACUACUUAUCUUUUACUUGGCCCAUGCUUCCUUCAAAGGGUCCCACAGGUGAGGAUGCCAUGCUCCUUUAAGAAUUCCUGGCCAGGUUUUUCUUUUCACCUUUGGAUUGAGGGAAGGAGGAACUGGGGAAAAGACAGGCGGAGGAAAGAAAAGGACUGGGUUACUUGAAAAUCCAUGACCUUAUAAAAGCUGAAACAUGGUCUGGAGACAGCUGAGUAACAGGUGCUCUAAAUGGAGACCCAAGCAUCCAAUGGACUAACAAUGACUAUGUUAAAUGUCAUUGUCAGUGGAUGUUAAGGUUGCAGAUGGCACUAAAAUUGCCAACCACCCAACAUUGACAUGUGGAUACUAUUCGAGAUUGUGGCAGUGGGUCCUCUCAGUCAAAGAGGUUCUUAAAAAUAGGAGGAGGGUGGAAAGAUCAUCAUAGUGGGAUAUGUUCAGAAUAGCUUGGUUUAAUAAUACUGCAGACCUUAUCACUGAUAAUUGCUCAAUCACUAGGCUGGCUUAGAAAGGGAAGGAGUAAAUAGAAAUGUAACAAUGAGUCAGGCUGAUGCAAAAGGAACCCCUCAGGUGCGUAGUGGGGACCAUGUGUCCUGCCUUCCUGCUUAGCUGCUGAUUGAGUCUUCCUUCGUCUGAUGUUACUCUCUUACUUUGGAAAUAUCUUCUAAAUCCUUGAAACUUUUGAAUUAGGAGGGGUCAUGCCACCCUCCAGCUCCCCUCAAGUGCAGUUCCAGGAUCCAAACCUCAUGCCAACCAUUGCACCUCUUUGAUCCAGCAAUUAGCUCGAGUUUAACCAUUUGACACAAAGCGAUUUGUUAUUGGACAAGAUUUGGGAAGUUUCGGCAAUAGAUUUUCUUCUUUCUUAAAGGGAUGAUUGGGAAUUUAGAACUAAUGUAGAUCUAUAGCAACCAUUUUAUCAAGACAAAAAGAAAGUCUAAAUGAAAGUGGAGAUAAUGAUGCCACAGGGUGAAGCCUAACAGCAGAGAGUUUGAUAUUUUUAGCAAAGUAGAGCCUAGUAUUGGAGUGCAGUAUCCUGAGCAAGGCAGAACCCAAAAGCAGAAGACAGGGUGGGAUCCUCAGUUAAAUUAUUGAAGCCUCUGCAUGUUACUCACCCAAAUGCUCAGCACUUUGAACACACAAGUUAAAUGAGUCAAUACACUUUUGUUUCAUUUAAAUGCAUUUGAACUAUAUCCCUGCUGUGUGAAAGUCCCACAGUUCCUGACAAGGAAGGAGUGAGUGAUCACAGUUUCUCAGGUCCAUAAACAUAAAGCAAGGACUUUAGAAAUGCCAGACACAAAGGCACCAAUACAACUGAGCCCAUUGCAACUGAUGUAUAAAGUGGAAGGUAAUUUAAUAGACCCUUUCAGAUAUCUGAAGUAGCAGCAUCAUCCACCUAGAGUGCCUGCUUCCCAGAAUUAGAUGGCUGAAGAACCAAAUCAGCAAAUAAAAGGAUGCUAGAAGACUGACAGAAUAAAAGAUGGUGGCCCACUGGACUCAUUUCAUCUGCAUCAAGAUGAAGUCAUGUGACCCAUAUGCUGCCCAAGAGAAAGAUAAAUUUGAACCUACUCAAUUGAGAACAUUUCUCCAGACUGUAUUACAUAAUCUACAGGUUUCCUCUCUCUGCUUCAGAUCAUUGAUUUAUCUUCACAGCAACGAACCAAUUGUUUUGAUUCUUUCCUUUCCCCAAACAUCCAGUCAAAUUGUUUCCUGAAUUGAAGUCUCAUUCUCUUACUGCUUUCAGUCUGUCCUGAUCAUCAGGUUUGACAUUACACCCAUUUUAACACUGUCCAGGUGAUACAUAUGUAAGAGCUUUCCAUGUCUGCACUUCCAGGUAGCCAGACUCACUGGCCGGGGCUGUUCUGGGUUAGAUGAUCUCACAGAGACAAGUACAGCCCUGAGAGGAAGGCUAACAAGGAUUUACAUUGCUGUGCUUCCUGGCUGUCAACUUUCUAAGUAUCCAAGACCUUAAUUCUAACAUGUAGGUAAAAUGUGUGUGUGUGUGGGGGGAUAUCUCCCAAAGUAGGGGAAAUAGAAUAUGUAGUUGUGGAGAAACAGUGGGAGACUGGAGUGAGGAUUAAAUGGGGAGCGAAGAGGUGAGUGAGGGAGGAGAUGUGGACGAGAGCUUCUCUCCCGAACUAGGAAGCUAUCUCCAACUGGCAACUGUGUGCAAAGGAGUCUCAGUGGGUAUACAAACCACACUCAAGAAGAGGCCUCCCCCACCCAGCAGUACAUGGCCAGUACAAAAUGGAGCCAUGGUAUUUUUGUGGGUUGUUAUAACAUACUGUUUUGUCUGGGCAGUUUUUAUUUUAUUGGUCUUCUGCAUGUAUAUGUUUUCUGAUAUUUUUAUGAGUUUGCUGUAUAUUAGUGAAUGUGUGUGUGUGUGUGUGUGUGUGUGUGUGUGUUUCUUGUGCCUUUUCUUUUUUCCCUUGUUUUUUUUCUAAGAAGAGAGGAAGAAGGCCUGGAAUUAAAUGGGCAGGGAGAAUCUGGAGGAGCUGUAGAGGAUAGACCAUAAUCUUAAUAUAUUGCAUGAAAAAUUAUUUUCAAUUGAAAAAGCAGAAAUGUUAUAGCAUAACAAGUAAUAAAUCUUAUAUGUAUAUAA